rnacentral:lncRNA from 1 species
AAUUUAGUUCUCAAUUGGGAAAAGUGCCACUUCAUGGUACAAGAAGGUAUUGUGCUAGGCCAUCAUGUUUCGGCGAGGGGAUUGGAAGUGGACAGAGCAAAAAUUGAUACAAUUGAAAAGCUACCACCACCCACCAAUGUCAAAGGCAUUCGAAGUUUCUUAGGGCACGCUGGAUUCUACAGGAGAUUCAUCAAAGACUUCUCAAAAGUGGCAAAACCCCUAUGUAACCUUUUGGAGAAGGACACAACGUUCGUAUUUGAUGAAGACUA